rnacentral:rRNA from 1 species
AGUCGAACGAAGCGCCUGCGGCGGACCCCUCCGGGGGAAAGCCGCGGGGGACUGAGUGGCGGACGGGUGAGCAACGCGUGGGCAACCUGCCCCGUACCGGGGGACAACAGCCGGAAACGGCUGCUAAUACCGCAUAUUCCCGCGGGGCCGCAUGGCCCUGCGGGGAAAGCUCCGGCAGUACGGGAUGGGCCCGCGUCUGAUUAGCUUGUUGGCGGGGUAACGGCCCACCAAGGCUGCGAUCAGUAGCCGGCCUGAGAGGGCGGCCGGCCACAUUGGGACUGAGACACGGCCCAGACUCCUGCGGGAGGCAGCAGUGGGGGAUAUUGCACAAUGGGGGGAACCCUGAUGCAGCGACGCCGCGUGAACGAAGAAAUAUUUCGGUAUGUAAAGUUCUAUCAGCAGGGAAGAAAAUGACAGUACCUGACCAAGAAGCCCCGGCUAACUACGUGCCAGCAGCCGCGGUAAUACGUAGGGGGCGAGCGUUAUCCGGAUUCACUGGGCGUAAAGGGAGCGCAGGCGGCACGGCAAGUCCGGUGUGAAAGCCCGGGGCCCAACCCCGGGACUGCACUGGAAACUGCCGGGCUGGAGUGUCGGAGGGGCAGGCGGAAUUCCUAGUGUAGCGGUGAAAUGCGUAGAUAUUAGGGGGAACACCGGUGGCGAAGGCGGCCUGCUGGACGACGACUGACGCUGAGGCUCGAAAGC